rnacentral:rRNA from 1 species
UACGGAGGGUGCAAGCGUUAAUCGGAUUAACUGGGCGUAAAGCGCACGUAGGCGGUAUUGUAAGUCAGAGGUGUAAUCCCACAGCUCACCUGUGGAACUGCCUUUGAAACUACAGUACUAGAAUGUAGGAGAGGAUAGUGGAAUUUCUAGUGUAGGAGUGGAAUCUGUAGAUAUUAGAAGGAACACCAGUGGCGAAGGCGACUAUCUGGACUAUUAUUGACGCUGAGGUGCGAAAGCGUGGGGAGCAAACAGG